CCUCUCUCAGGGUCGCACCUGGAGAGUUUCUGGUACUCUACCAGUCUCAGCUACAGGAGGAAGAGUCAAGCAGAGGCCUAUCCAUUCCAUUCCUAGCUUGGGCGGUAGCUAGCGAGUGAAAGGCAAUCUGCUACAAGU